rnacentral:tRNA from 1 species
UUCUGGUUAGCUCAGUUGGUAGAGUGCUUCACUGGAAAUUGAGAGGCUCCUGGUUUCGAUACCAUGACCAGGUG